GUAUUUAAAAAAUAAAUGAAAACACCCACCCACACAUACACACUCACACAACUGGAGUAUAAUAUGCAUACAGAAAAAUGCACCAAUCACAGCCAUUCUGCCUGAUGAAUUAUGACAAGAGUGAACAUGUGAGUAACCACCACCCCAGGUGAAGCAGUAGAACACUCUGAGAACCCCAGAGGCCCCUCUUAUGCCCUGAUCUCCCCCACUGCACUCCCGUUUCCCCUUCUCCUACUUGUAAAUGAUUUUUAAUGAUUUUCCAGGCUCCAACUUGGAAGGGAAGCACUUUGAUCAGGAGGAUUUGCUGAAGGACCAAGGUGCCUGACUCUUGGGGACACCCAGGGUAGCAGUUCAUGAAGCUUAUUGGGCAAGCAUUGAUUGGGCAAGCAGGAAGGACCAGCAACUGAGGACGCCCAUCCCUGGACCCUUGGGCUGCUUUCUGUUCCUUCACCCAAAGUUGCUGAAAUACCAACAUACCAGAGUGAAAAUAAUUUUCCCUAGUCCACACAGCCUCCCAAUUUCUAGGCAACUUCUUCAGUCAUCAGACCACACUUCCUCCCUGCCUUGGGGAAAAGAUUUUGGCUGGCUAUGUCACCAUCUCUCACCACCUCCGAUCCUGGCUGUACCUGAAUUUAUCUCUCAAUUCCCACCUGAAGAAUCAGCUUCUCCAUGCCUCUUAGUCCUGGCCUGAA
rnacentral:lncRNA from 1 species